CCUACGGGUGGCUGCAGUGAGGAAUAUUGGUCAAUGGGCGAGAGCCUGAACCAGCCAAGUCGCGUGAAGGAAGACGGCCCUAUGAGUUGUAAACUUCUUUUGUAAAAGGGUAAAGCUGAAUACGUAUAUUCUGCUGAGAGUACCGUACGAAUAAGGAUCGGCUAACUCCGUGCCAGCAGCCGCGGUAAUACGGAGGAUCCAAGCGUUAUCCGGAUUUAUUGGGUUUAAAGGGUGCGUAGGCGGAUUGAUAAGUCAGAGGUGAAAUGUCGGAGCUUAACUCGGGAACUGCGUUUGAUACUGUUGGUCUAGAGUGUAGGUGAGGUAGGCGGAAUGUGUGGUGUAGCGGUGAAAUGCUUAGAGAUCAUACAGAACGCCGAUUGCGAAGGCAGCUUACCGGUCUAUAUCUGACGUUGAGGCACGAAAGCGUGGGGAGCAAACAGGAUUAGAUACCCGAGUAGUC
rnacentral:rRNA from 1 species